UACGUAGGGUGCAAGCGUUGUCCGGAAUUAUUGGGCGUAAAGAGCUCGUAGGCGGUUUGUUGCGUCGGCUGUGAAAUCCCGAGGCUCAACCUCGGGUCUGCAGUCGAUACGAGCAAACUAGAGUGUUGCAGGGGAGACUGGAAUUCCUGGUGUAGCGGUGAAAUGCGCAGAUAUCAGGAGGAACACCGGUGGCGAAGGCGGGGUCUCUGGGCCGAA
rnacentral:rRNA from 1 species